GACGAACGCUGGCGGCGUGCUUAACACAUGCAAGUCGAACGGAAAGGCCCUGCUUUUGUGGGGUGCUCGAGUGGCGAACGGGUGAGUAACACGUGAGUAACCUGCCCUUGACUUUGGGAUAACUUCAGGAAACUGGGGCUAAUACCGGAUAGGAGCUCCUGCUGCAUGGUGGGGGUUGGAAAGUUUCGGCGGUUGGGGAUGGACUCGCGGCUUAUCAGCUUGUUGGUGGGGUAGUGGCUUACCAAGGCUUUGACGGGUAGCCGGCCUGAGAGGGUGACCGGGCACAUUGGGACUGAGGUACGGCCCAGAGUCCUACGGGAGGCAGCAGUGGGGAAUAUUGCACAAUGGGCGGAAGUCUGAUGCAGAAACGCCGCGUGCGGGAUGACGGCCUUCGGGUUGUAAACCGCUUUCGCCUGUGACGAAGCGUGAGUGACGGUAAUGGGUAAAGAAGCACCGGCUAACUACGUG
rnacentral:rRNA from 1 species